rnacentral:rRNA from 1 species
GUUAAGCGACUAAGCGUACACGGUGGAUGCCCUGGCAGUCAGAGGCGAUGAAGGACGUGCUAAUCUGCGAUAAGCGUCGGUAAGGUGAUAUGAACCGUUAUAACCGGCGAUUUCCGAAUGGGGAAACCCAGUGUGAUUCGUCACACUAUCAUUAACUGAAUCCAUAGGUUAAUGAGGCGAACCGGGGGAACUGAAACAUCUAAGUACCCCGAGGAAAAGAAAUCAACCGAGAUUCCCCCAGUAGCGGCGAGCGAACGGGGAGCAGCCCAGAGCCUGAAUCAGUGUGUGUGUUAGUGGAAGCGUCUGGAAAGGCGCGCGAUACAGGGUGACAGCCCCGUACACAAAAAUGCACAUAUUGUGAGCUCGAUGAGUAGGGCGGGACACGUGGUAUCCUGUCUGAAUAUGGGGGGACCAUCCUCCAAGGCUAAAUACUCCUGACUGACCGAUAGUGAACCAGUACCGUGAGGGAAAGGCGAAAAGAACCCCGGCGAGGGGAGUGAAAAAGAACCUGAAACCGUGUACGUACAAGCAGUGGGAGCCUCUUUAUGGGGUGACUGCGUACCUUUUGUAUAAUGGGUCAGCGACUUAUAUUCUGUAGCAAGGUUAACCGAAUAGGGGAGCCGAAGGGAAACCGAGUCUUAACUGGGCGUUAAGUUGCAGGGUAUAGACCCGAAACCCGGUGAUCUAGCCAUGGGCAGGUUGAAGGUUGGGUAACACUAACUGGAGGACCGAACCGACUAAUGUUGAAAAAUUAGCGGAUGACUUGUGGCUGGGGGUGAAAGGCCAAUCAAACCGGGAGAUAGCUGGUUCUCCCCGAAAGCUAUUUAGGUAGCGCCUCGUGAAUUCAUCUCCGGGGGUAGAGCACUGUUUCGGCAAGGGGGUCAUCCCGACUUACCAACCCGAUGCAAACUGCGAAUACCGGAGAAUGUUAUCACGGGAGACACACGGCGGGUGCUAACGUCCGUCGUGAAGAGGGAAACAACCCAGACCGCCAGCUAAGGUCCCAAAGUCAUGGUUAAGUGGGAAACGAUGUGGGAAGGCCCAGACAGCCAGGAUGUUGGCUUAGAAGCAGCCAUCAUUUAAAGAAAGCGUAAUAGCUCACUGGUCGAGUCGGCCUGCGCGGAAGAUGUAACGGGGCUAAACCAUGCACCGAAGCUGCGGCAGCGACACUAUGUGUUGUUGGGUAGGGGAGCGUUCUGUAAGCCUGUGAAGGUGUGCUGUGAGGUAUGCUGGAGGUAUCAGAAGUGCGAAUGCUGACAUAAGUAACGAUAAAGCGGGUGAAAAGCCCGCUCGCCGGAAGACCAAGGGUUCCUGUCCAACGUUAAUCGGGGCAGGGUGAGUCGACCCCUAAGGCGAGGCCGAAAGGCGUAGUCGAUGGGAAACAGGUUAAUAUUCCUGUACUUGGUGUUACUGCGAAGGGGGGACGGAGAAGGCUAUGUUGGCCGGGCGACGGUUGUCCCGGUUUAAGCGUGUAGGCUGGUUUUCCAGGCAAAUCCGGAAAAUCAAGGCUGAGGCGUGAUGACGAGGCACUACGGUGCUGAAGCAACAAAUGCCCUGCUUCCAGGAAAAGCCUCUAAGCAUCAGGUAACAUCAAAUCGUACCCCAAACCGACACAGGUGGUCAGGUAGAGAAUACCAAGGCGCUUGAGAGAACUCGGGUGAAGGAACUAGGCAAAAUGGUGCCGUAACUUCGGGAGAAGGCACGCUGAUAUGUAGGUGAAGUCCCUUGCGGAUGGAGCUGAAAUCAGUCGAAGAUACCAGCUGGCUGCAACUGUUUAUUAAAAACACAGCACUGUGCAAACACGAAAGUGGACGUAUACGGUGUGACGCCUGCCCGGUGCCGGAAGGUUAAUUGAUGGGGUUAGCGGUAACGCGAAGCUCUUGAUCGAAGCCCCGGUAAACGGCGGCCGUAACUAUAACGGUCCUAAGGUAGCGAAAUUCCUUGUCGGGUAAGUUCCGACCUGCACGAAUGGCGUAAUGAUGGCCAGGCUGUCUCCACCCGAGACUCAGUGAAAUUGAACUCGCUGUGAAGAUGCAGUGUACCCGCGGCAAGACGGAAAGACCCCGUGAACCUUUACUAUAGCUUGACACUGAACAUUGAGCCUUGAUGUGUAGGAUAGGUGGGAGGCUUUGAAGUGUGGACGCCAGUCUGCAUGGAGCCGACCUUGAAAUACCACCCUUUAAUGUUUGAUGUUCUAACGUUGGCCCCUAAUCGGGGUUGCGGACAGUGUCUGGUGGGUAGUUUGACUGGGGCGGUCUCCUCCUAAAGAGUAACGGAGGAGCACGAAGGUUGGCUAAUCCUGGUCGGACAUCAGGAGGUUAGUGCAAUGGCAUAAGCCAGCUUGACUGCGAGCGUGACGGCGCGAGCAGGUGCGAAAGCAGGUCAUAGUGAUCCGGUGGUUCUGAAUGGAAGGGCCAUCGCUCAACGGAUAAAAGGUACUCCGGGGAUAACAGGCUGAUACCGCCCAAGAGUUCAUAUCGACGGCGGUGUUUGGCACCUCGAUGUCGGCUCAUCACAUCCUGGGGCUGAAGUAGGUCCCAAGGGUAUGGCUGUUCGCCAUUUAAAGUGGUACGCGAGCUGGGUUUAGAACGUCGUGAGACAGUUCGGUCCCUAUCUGCCGUGGGCGCUGGAGAACUGAGGGGGGCUGCUCCUAGUACGAGAGGACCGGAGUGGACGCAUCACUGGUGUUCGGGUUGUCAUGCCAAUGGCACUGCCCGGUAGCUAAAUGCGGAAGAGAUAAGUGCUGAAAGCAUCUAAGCACGAAACUUGCCCCGAGAUGAGUUCUCCCUGACCCUUUAAGGGUCCUGAAGGAACGUUGAAGACGACGACGUUGAUAGGCCGGGUGUGUAAGCGCAGCGAUGCGUUGAGCUAACCGGUACUAAUGAACCGUGAGGCUUAACCU